rnacentral:pre_miRNA from 1 species
UAAGUACUCCCUCCGUCCCAAAAUUCUUGUCUUACAUUUGUCUAAAUAUGGAUGUAUCAAGUCAUGUUUUAGUAUUAGAUACAUCCAUAUCUAAACAAAUCUAAGACAAGAAUUUUGGGACGGAGGGAGUAACAA